UCGACUUUUCUACUUUCCUCUGAAAUUUUCUGUGAACCUAAAACUUUUUUAAAAAGUCAAGCUUUCUGGUUUUUAAAAAUUUUUACUUUUCAAUUACAGUGUAUGUUCAGUAUUCCUGUGUUAGUUUCGGGUACAGAGCAUCGUGGUUAGACAGUCAUGUCCUUCACAAAGUGAGCCCCUGCUACUUCAACACCCACUUGGCACCAUGCAUAGCUACAACAUCGCCGAGUGCCCUCGUAUUCCCUAUGCAAUCCUGUGACUAUUUUGUAACUACCAAUUUGUAUUUCAUAAUCCCUUCACCUUUUUCACCCAGUCCACCAAUACCCCUUUCUGCUGGCAACCAUCAUUCUGCAACUAUGAGUCUGUUUCUGUUUUGUUUAUUAAACAAACAAAAGUUUGUUUAGAGUCCACAUAUAAGUGAAAUCACAUGGUAUUUGUCUUCUCUGUCUGACUUACUUCAACCCUCCAGGUCCAUCCAUGCUGUUGCAAACGGCUGGUCACGGGUACUACUGCUUCCACCAAGUCUUCAAUCGAUAUCAUGGACAUCCUCUUCUCCGGAUGGCGCUGGGAACUUGUUUCGUACUAGUGCCAUCUCAACUAAUUGGAAAAGGAGAGAGAGAAACAUUGAUGUGAGACAGAAAAAUUAAUUGAUUGCCUUCUCUAUGCUCCUGAACCAGGGGUCAUGUGCACCAGGACCCAGGGAUUGAACCCACAGCCUAGGUCAGGUCUUUUUGUUCCUGUUUGUCUAUGUGACUCUCAUGCUGUUGUUUUUAAUGUCAGACGAUCCUUUUACAAGUGAAGAACCAGGUUGGUUAUUAUAGGCCAUGAAUCUGUGAGCAGAUGACCACACUCUGAGCAGACAGCUAUGAUCCCCAAGUGUGGCCCCCAAGGGCUCUGUCCACAAGUACCAGUUGCUGUGACCUGGGUCCCGCUGCAGGGGACGGGAAAGAGGAGGACAAACCUGCUUGGGCAGGGCUGCCAUGCACUCGACACCCUGUGGAGGCUCUCAGGACUCGGGGGUAAACAUUACUGGUGCGCUAGAGCUAUGUUCUGGGUGGCCUUCUCUUGUACAGCUGUUCUCAUUCCAGUAAUUUCCAUGGGCUGCCUAGAAAUGCUGGACAUACUGGCUUGUGGAUUCAGUGGUCUUGGCUGUUGACAUGCAUAUAGGCCUUUCUUACAUCACUUUGCAUGUACUCAAGAGAGUACAUUCUAUUUCUGCAGUUCCCCAGGAAUCAGGUUUUAAGACGGGACAACUGCCUAACUUCGCUGAGGGCAGCACGUUCUCUGUUCUUUUGCAGCUGUAGUGCGGCAGAAAGCGCUGAAUGGUUCUCCACACUCGGGUGCUGCAAAGUCCACACCUCACUCCAGCCUCUGGGAGCUCAUCUUCCCAGAACAGAGGCAUCUCUCUCCUCCCUGUGAAACAUUGCCUUCCAACUCCUCCCUUUUUAGGAUAAUUCCAGCUUCUUUUCUGAAAGAGCUAAGAAUUCUCAAAAAGUCCUGGUUGGGGUUUUUUCCAGAAUAGCUUUUGAAACACAAAUAAGCUCGUAAACCUCUUAUACCUGAGCAGAAGAGAGUCCUGUGACUUAGAACAAAAAACCGUUUUCCUUUUAGAGAGAGGUAAAAAGGAGAAAAAUUAUCCUUUCCUUCUAUCAAAUAAGUCUCCGGUAGAAAUAGAAAUAGGAACAGGGCAUAAAUGACUUUGUCAAUCAUCGGUCCUGUCCCACGACGUUCUGUGUCUCCCUCUGCAACUUGGUCAGCGGGGAAACCUGGCAAAGUCACACCGCAGUGGUGACAGCCUCGGUUUCGACUACAGAAUGGAGCUGAUGCCAACUGUACAAGGACAUUGUCAUCAGUAAAUUAGGUAUUUGCAAAAUUUGAUAGGGUUCUAAUAAGUGUAAUUUCUUUUUCCUUUUUUUUUUUUCUACAGGAGGAAUCACCUGCUUGUAUGAAGUCCGAGUGUCUGGGUUGGGGGCCCAGAUUACAGGGCUCUGAGCACAGAGAAGGGAUGCAUUUUGCCAGAGAGGUGGGAAGUGGGCUGGCGCCCACACGCCCACACAGACUUUUCUUCCCUUCUCUUUACAGUCCCAAGCUGGGGAGCGGUGCGACUUAGAAGACACUGGGCGGUUCUUCCAUGCUCUCAACGGUAGUGCCCAAACCUGACUGAACUUACCUAAGAAAAAGAAGACAAAAAAUGAACAGUGAAAGGACAGCAAACUCACAGUUAUUAACAACCACAUCUAAAACAAAAGGACAGCUAGAUCAGGAGCAGAACCAUAGAAAUGAAGAUCCCAUGGAGGGUUAGCAACAGGGGAGUGGAAGAAGGAGAAGGGGGGAGAAG